rnacentral:rRNA from 1 species
GAGCCCAACCUCCCACCCGUGUUUACUGUACCUUAGUUGCUUCGGCGGGCCCGCCAUUCAUGGCCGCCGGGGGCUCUCAGCCCCGGGCCCGCGCCCGCCGGAGACACCACGAACUCUGUCUGAUCUAGUGAAGUCUGAGUUGAUUGUAUCGCAAUCAGUUAAAACUUUCAACAAUGGAUCUCUUGGUUCCGGCAUCGAUGAAGAACGCAGCGAAAUGCGAUAACUAGUGUGAAUUGCAGAAUUCCGUGAAUCAUCGAGUCUUUGAACGCACAUUGCGCCCCCUGGUAUUCCGGGGGGCAUGCCUGUCCGAGCGUCAUUGCUGCCCAUCAAGCACGGCUUGUGUGUUGGGUCGUCGUCCCCUCUCCGGGGGGGACGGGCCCCAAAGGCAGCGGCGGCACCGCGUCCGAUCCUCGAGCGUAUGGGGCUUUGUCACCCGCUCUGUAGGCCCGGCCGGCGCUUGCCGAACGCAAAUCAAUCUUUUUCCAGGUUGACCUCGGAUCAGGUAGGGAUACCCGCUGAACUUAAGCAUAUCAAAANNCGGGAAGGANAGAUCAUUACCGAGUGUAGGGUUCCUAGCGAGCCAACCUCCCACCCGUGUUUACUGUACCUUAGUUGCUUCGGCGGGCCGCCAUUCAGGCCGCCCGGGGCUCUAGCCCGGGCCGNCGCCACCCACAAAAACUCUGUCUUAUCUGUGAUAGUCGAGUUGAUUGGUAUUGUAUCCAUCUCAUUAAAUUCUUUCAGGUGGGAUUUUUGGGUUUCGCUCGAUNANAACGCACNNANGCGAUUACUAAUGGUGUAAAUUGUGCAAAAUCUUGCGAGUAAUCAGUCUNCUUAAGCAAUAGAGCGCCGCGCAUAUUCUGGGGGGCAGGCGGUCUAGCAUCAAUGCUGCUUANNCACGCACGANGNU